ensembl:lncRNA
AAUAUUUUAAUAUUUUAAUAAUACCAAGAGUUAUUAUUAUUAUAUUAUCAAAAUUUUGGGCCAAAUUGUGCCGCACAGCAAACCUGCAUGGAGCUGUUUUUUAUUUUUUUAAAUGCAAAUGUAAUUUUUUUCCCCAGGAAUCGCGCAGCCCUGUUUUAAAGUGAACUAUCCUUUUAAGUUUGUAUUUGAAAGGUUUUGUCUAAGCUGUAGAGUACAUGACAAACUAUGUGCGUAUGAUUUUUAUCAUGUUGAUUACACAAAACUGUGACUUCUUAUUGAUUUGAAAUUGCAAAACGAACCCCGGAGUCACAGUUAGAAGUAGCUGGAAAACAGUAGUUUCGACGUACCUCCAGCAUCACUGCCAGACGUUAUCACACACUGUUUGUCGUGCGCUAAAACUUCGAAACCAAGUAGACUAAAGCUGUGAACACAGUGGCAGAUGGUUAAGCAUCGCUCUCCUGUGAAAUGACAUGGAUGUCAUUUGGUAGGGGGGAUGCAUCGUGAUUGAUGUAGUUCAGACUUGUGGUAUUUUAGUUGAUCACAUGUUGAAAGUGUGCCCAGGCGUGUAAUGUGAAUAUAUUUUCUGUGUGUAAUGUGAAAUACACAUGUGCCUCUUAUAUCGGACUCUUCACUGUGGCCUUAUCAGUCAGAAAAUGCAGCAGUACAGUUCUCAUUUCGAAACCACUGUGAUUAUGUCCAUUAAAAAGGACUUGUCUGUCUUGGAUGUGUGGCGUCUUUUUUGUUUUGUUUUGUUUUGAUUGCAGAAUCUGUUUGUAGAAGCUUAUUGAAAUAGGCAGCAUGAAAACACACACGUUUUUACCUUUCCAGACAGAAGCACGCAGGCUCCUGAAGGCCAACGGCUGUGUGAGUAAAUUAACCCCGCACUCACCAGCUGUAUCACCGCUCCCACCCCUUUCUAGGGAAAAAAACACAUCACCGAACACAUGGCACAAAGGACGGCGUGGGAACUGCAUAUGAUUGGGGUUCGGGAAAACAGCGGCGUCGCACUGGGGACGAUAUCUUCACCGAUCCAGCCAUCUUACAGACUCUGCCUGUAUUUCCACUCAUCAGAUCUGCUAACAGCAAAUCAAUGGGCUUCUUUUGUUUCUGCAGGUUCAGACAUCCUCAUUGUGUCGAUGUGUUAUCGGCAGCUCGUUGUGUGUGUGUGUAAAUUGCUCUGAAUUUGCCACCAGGAUGGAGGCCUCUCCCAGAAUGUUUUCUUUUAUCUAAUGUGAGGAUGUAAACGUUGCGAGGAAGCGAAUAUUUCAAACGGCGCUACGGCGCAGCCAUUUGAUCUCUGAAGGCUCCAGUUGAUUUACGAAUAUGAGAAGUGCUUCAGCUGCAUUCGCCAAUAUUUUCGCUGCGCAGUCAAAGAAAACUUCAAAGUUGAAAGUUGGAGCGUUAAACAGUCCUCCGGGCUCGCAUCCUUCUCUGAAGGGGCCAACGCAAACACGCCUCGGCCCUCCGCGGGGCUCUCGCUGAACCUGGGUAAAAGCAGCAGGGAGGACAACUGAAAUUAAACGUUUGCAGAACGCAGGAGAAACGCCUCCUCCUGUAGGCCCAUACGUUUCCCACAGAGCUGUAAUAUGUCAUCUGGGCAGCCACUUCGGUGGAGGACAUAUCCCACAAUGCCCUGCAAGGCAGGGUGCCACGGUACCCGUUGUGGCUCACUAACACGCCUCCACGUGCCAUCUUAACUUUUCAUUUGUCUUCUUCUACCUGUCAAGGGGAGGAAAAAAUAGUUCGGAGGGAACGAUCCUCCCCAACGGAAUCAUGAUCUAUCAGUUGUACUUCUGUGCCGUUAAAUGACAUUGUACUUUUAUUCAACGUUCCACAAGCAGAAACAGUCUAAUUCAAUCAUCUUAAUUCCUGUCAUAAAAUAUAUUGUUCUUUCAAGGAAUAGACUCUGCAAUUAAGAACUACAUUCACACAUGCUUUAAUUGUAGAUUUUUGCUUUGCUUUGUUUUGUUUGCAUCUUUUGUAUGUAUAAUACAAGCGCAAACCAAAAAUUUCUUUACAUUUUUUUUUUACUUUGUUUUGUCUGGAUCUUUUGUAUGUACAAGUGAAUGAAUGUGGAAGUGCAGACUGAUGAUUUUUGUUUGUUUACUCUUUGUUUUGUUUUGGUUUGUUUUGUUCAGAUUUUGUGUCUAUACAUAAUAGCUCAAAUUUUGUCUGAUCUUUUUGCAUAUAUAAACUUGUACCAUUGCUUUUCUUUGUUUUGUUUGGAUCUUUUUAUGUAUAAUAAAAGUACAACCCACAGUUUUGUUUUGUCUGCAUCUUUGUAUAUAUAAUAUAAGCUCAAACCACCUUUUUUAAGUUUGGUUUAUUUUAUUCUACUUUGUUGUAUAACAUAAGUG